GCAGGAUUCAAACCGGUACGCAGCAAAUUGUAAACAUAAACAUUAGCGCGGAGUAAACCAGUCACCAUGGAUAAUAAACCUCAUUUAAAACGACGGCCUAAUUUUUCGGAGGCUGAGAAAAUUAUGUUGGUUAAGGAGGUAAUGAAAAGGCGAAAAGUGUUACUAGGAAAGUCGGAAAGUAUUGUGCCAAUGAGAUUAAGAAUGGAAGCGUGGGAUAGCAUUGCAUCGGCUAUCAACGGUGUGAAUCCCGCUGUGAGACAAAGAGAAAGAAAUGAAUUGAAGAAGAAAUUCACAGACUUUAAGUCAUCAGUGAAGAAAGACCUUGAACGACGGAGGAAAGCUCUCUUAAGAGAGAGCUGCCCAUUGCUGGAAUUUCCUGCCUGAGUCAGUGGUGCAAAGUACUUCCAUCCAUCAGUUCAAGUCAAGGCCGGAGAAACACUGGAAACAAGACCCAGAGAAAUUUAGCAAACUAAUCAUCCCUCACGUACCAGGAUUCAUGAGAAUGAUGUCACAGAGGCACAUAAGCUACUAGCUUCAGAUGCCUGACUUCACAAGUACUCUACAGUACUGUACUAGUAGUAUAGCUGCUGGCACUUAACAUAAACUGGGGUGUUAAUGACCCUGAGAUAACACCACUCACCCCUAGUGAAGAAGCCAUGGCAGCUCUUAUAAGUUAUACUUCAAGACAAAAGACCAAGAGAAGAGGCUAUACGGAUGGCUGUGAAUCUGAGGCAUCAGAGAAAGGAAAAAGUAAAGUAUACUCUUAAUAGAACUGGUUUUUACUUGCGUACAAAAACAGUGUUAUUACAGUAACUUGGUAUUAGUACAGGCAUCCCCUGCAUCAGAGAAUCCGGGGUUACGGAAAUUCGCCAACAUGGAAUUUUGAAAUUAUGACCCGAAAAAUUGUUAUACUGCCGAAAA